rnacentral:rRNA from 1 species
UACGUAGGGGGCAAGCGUUGUCCGGAAUCAUUGGGCGUAAAGCGCGCGUAGGUGGCCUCAUAAGUCCGCUGUGAAAGUCAAAGGCUCAACCUUUGAAAGCCGGUGGAUACUGUGAGGCUAGAGUACGGAAGAGGCGAGUGGAAUUCCUGGUGUAGCGGUGAAAUGCGCAGAUAUCAGGAGGAACACCAAUGGCGAAGGCAGCUCGCUGGGACGUGACUGACGCUGAGACGCGAAAGCGUGGGGAGCAAACAGG